AUUGAACGCUGGCGGCAUGCCUUACACACGCAAGUCGAACGGUAACAGGUCUUCGGAUGCUGACGAGUGGCGAACGGGUGAGUAAUACAUCGGAACGUGCCUAGUAGUGGGGGAUAACUACUCGAAAGAGUGGCUAAUACCGCAUGAGAUCUACGGAUGAAAGCAGGGGAGCGCAAGACCCUGUGCUACUAAAGCGGGCGAGGGCAGAUUAGGUAGUUGGUGGGAUAAAAGCUUACCAAGCCGACGAUCUGUAGCUGGUCUGAGAGGACGAUCAGCCACACUGGGACUGAGACACGGCCCAGACUCCUACGGGAGGCAGCAGUGGGGAAUUUUGGACAAUGGGCGCAAGCCUGAUCCAGCAAUGCCGCGUGCAGGAUGAAGGCCUUCGGGUUGUAAACUGCUUUUGUACGGAACGAAAAGCCCUGGGUUAAUACCCUGGGGUCAUGACGGUACCGUAAGAAUAAGCACCGGCUAACUACGUGCCAGCCGCCGCAGUAAAAC
rnacentral:rRNA from 1 species